AAGGCCAUCUAAUCCAACUCCCCUGCAGUGCACAGGGGCACAUACAGCUCCAUCAGGUUGCCCUGAGCCUGGUCCAACCCAACCUUGAGUCAGGGAUGGGGCAAUCACCCAUCCUGGCUUGAUGUUACUGUGCAGGUGUUGCUGUGACAGUGUUUUGGAGGAAAAGCAGUGCUGCUCAUCCCCUUCCCUGCAGCCCAAGUUGGCACCGAGCCUUCACAGCCCAGCUGACGCUGCUUCCCUCAUCUCAUCACCUUCUCCAAAUAGCCAUGCCUCUACAACAAAUGCCUUUCGCUGUUACAGUUUGUAGGUGUUGAUCACCCUGCCCUAUUUUUGCAGCAUUUCUGCUUGUCAGGGUGCAGGAGAGGUGCAAUGCUGCACUGUGUCACAUGGAUUAAAUUUGGGUUGUAAUUCAUCAUUUGGGUCAGGAGGAGAGAGGAGAAGCUUUCAAAGCUGUUGCAACAUGUAAAGCAUAACCCAGCACAGAAAACCAGUUCAAGGCAGUUCAUAUCUACGCUGAUGGUUCGAUCUUUCUUCUACAAACCCGAUGAUUCAGAGGGCAAGAUCAAUCCAAGGGCAAAGCACUGCCCAGAGAGCAGAAGCAGGGGGAAACCUACGCAUGCUAGCAAGUUGUGUGGCUCCUACAGCUUGCUCCACACCCACGGUUAAUGAGUAAUCGAUGGAAAUCAGCAGCAUAGGUUGCAGCAUAGGUUGAGCCAGAGCCUGUGUGCUCUUGCUGAUGUUCUGAGGAAAAACCAGGGUUGAGCCUGGGCUGGUUAUGUGGCUGCUUACUUGAUGAAGUCAGUGGAAAGGCCAAACAGUGCAACAGUAAAAGGCUGGAGCGGGGUUUGGAUGAAUGCUGGUGGCUGGGACCCCACCACUCAGCUCUGGGAGCUGCACCCAUCAGCUGGCUAUCAGCCAUCCAUGGUCUGCAGAUGUGGAGCAGCAGCUUUGGUUGCUCUGCAGCACUAAGAAUGAGAACUCCUCUCACCCGAGAGCUGCCAGGUUUCUCACCCGAUUGGCCCCAGAGGGGAGGACACAGCCCCUCAGAACAGUGCGCUCAGCUCAGGAUGUUGAUUCUGGAGCUGUCAAGGGCUCUGCAGCAGCGGUGGUGGUCAGGACAUGGCCAGUAUGACCUUCCCUUUGGCUCUCAGGAUGCAGUCACAGUGUGUUACCAAGUACAGGCUGAACUUGUCCUCCGUGCCAGGCAGGCACCACCUCUUCCAUCCCUGGGAGAACGAUGGGCCCACCAUAAGCUGGGCUGUGGGACGCCCAGAGGUUUGAGACAAAGCCUGGGCCCCAGCAUGAGUCAGGCAAGGUGAGGCUUGCAGUGAAGAAUCCCUGAGCAGUCUGAAACCUUUGGGCUGUUUGUUAAAGCUACAUAAAUCCCUGAAUGAGGAAACAUAUGUCUGGAGCAGGUUUGCUUUGCCAAAUGGCACGGUGUCACGUGUCUGUCCCACGUUCUGCAUACAGGCAGUCCCCAGGCAUUUUGCAGCCUCCAAUAGGAAAAUUGCCGCAUGUGAUCAAGGCUUCAUCAGGUCAGCUGGAAACAAAGCACUGUGCUGCCACGUGCUGCAGAACGGGGAUUGGGAUAGUGCUCAAGGAGUGGCAAUGCUCAGGAUAAUAAACCCAGCCUAACGCUGACAACCAGAGACUGGCCCAGCCGUGGCCCCAGGACUGAGUACACAGCACUAGGGGAUGUAAGAAUGAAAAGCAUCAGCACCACCUCCUCCAGUGCAUAGUUCCUGGACAGGAUAGUGCCCAGCCACCAGCUUGUUCUGUCAUCCCAUGUAUAUCACACCUUAAUCCCAUGGCUCAGUUCCUCAUCUAAAAAACACAUGACUGCUGGAAACCAUGUGAGAGAGGCAAAGGAGAGUUGCUGUGUAUAAAAUGUAGAGCAAGGUCCCAAUCCACUGCUGUGAAGAAAAAUCCUCCCCAUCAGUGAACAGCACUGAGCUUCCUCUUAAAGGCAGAAGACUGAACCAGUGGAAAAUUGAAAUAAAGGAAAAAAACCUGUUGGUAUUUUCAAGCAAUCAAACCUCAUUGUCUGAGAGAGAUAACAUCAGUCACCAUCUGCUCCUGCUCUGAAAUCACAGCAGUUCUUCCUGCAGGGGGAAGAAUGACCCCAGGUGCUGCCUUGUGAAUCCUGGUGCCACUGCUUCUGUCUGUAAAAAAAAAAAGCCAGGGCCUGCUCUAUUUCCUCCGUGCCCUUGCAGCGUUUUGCACAGAGGAAAGCAGAGUUGGUUUAAAGCACAUUUUGCUUGUCAGCAGACACACAGGGAUGAGGCACAAUUCAGACUGUGUUUCUGGCUGAACUCCAGCCUCACCCGUGGGUAAGAUGUUCUCUCUGCUACCAGCUGUAGGGAAGCUGAGCUGUGCCUGUGCAUGCAGGGAUCCAGGCUCUGGGCUCUUCUUGCAUCAGCCUUGAGUCAGCUCGGUUUCAGUGCCUUUGGGCUCACCUUAUUUCCACACCUACAGCACUGUCUGUGGCCAAGCCUGCAGCUUCAUGUUCCUGCCCUGCGGAGCUCGUCUCAUCUCAGGUGACAGCAUCAAGCCAGAAGCAAGUUUGAUAACUUCAAGGCACAGCAGUCAAACGCUGUGAUUGGUGAUGUGACCAGCGCUUCGCUCCACAUUUAAAGGGUGAAAAGACAUAGAAAUUACACAUCUUUUUAGGGAAUCAAAGCCAGCAUGUAAAGUAGUGCUGCAGCUGUGGAGAUGGAGAAGCUGCUCCCAGGGACAAUCCAAGAGAUUUAAUUGCUUUCUGGUUUCCACAUAUUCUCUUUUCUUUGGUACUACUGCAACUUGAGCCAGCAUUUCUGCACUACCAGGAAAAGGUCAUCAAUCAGCUGUUUCCUUCUGCUUUUCUGCAAUGCUAUAUUUUGAAAUAUAUCCCUGACAAACUAAAAGAAGUGUUGGAGCAAUUCCAUGGGAAACAUCAGUACAGUAACCAGAUCUGUAGUGUACAACAUCUGUCAAGAUAAUGUGACCUCUUGCUGGCUUUGAUGUGAUGGAAGCAGGCUGCAGAACUCUCCCUGAGAAAGUUCCCCUUCACCUUCACUAGACCUUAAGGCAGCCCCAAUACAAAGCUUUUCUAAAACAAAAUGAGCAAGGGAGUGGAAACAUGAAGCUCCUUGGCUGGGGGGCUCUGAUACACAUGCCUUUCCUGCACAGCACUGGCUGUGCAGGGAAGGAAGGGUUACAGGAAAUGUGGGCUCUGCUCUGAGCAGCACUCAGGGAGCUGUGCCUUGAUCAAAGGCUUCUGGCAGAAGGCUGUCUGGGAAGUGGGGCUACCUCCUUCCCAAAGCAAUGCAUCUGGAGCUGCAGCAGUCAGCAGAGGGAUUCCUUCUCCCUCGGCAUCCCCUCCAAGUAGGGCCAGGGCUGAACUCCAAGGAGAUGCUGCAGGAGCCCUUUUCCUCCCCUGGAGGAAGAGAGAGAUGAGGAAUAACCCUGCCCUCUGCAUAGGAAAUGGGGAGCAGCCCCAGCUCUGAGCAAGGCAGCAAGAACAGAGCAACACCUGCAGGCAGCAUAGGGUGGGAGGGAGCUGGAGCCAGCCAAGAGGCUCUUGAAAUGAAGUCCUGUGUUAUCUUUGUCAGCUAUCUUGGCUGUUUAAAUCCAGGGAAUUCCCUUUCUGUCCCUGUAGCCCUGACUUGGCACCACAAAUCCCCCUCUCGUGAUGCAAGUAACACCAGACCCUGUCCCCAUAACACUCCGACAUUUCCCUUCCAAUCCUUCCAGUCCCAAGGCUGUGGUUGCCAAGCCUCAUGUCCUGCUCGGCCUUUUGGCUUUCCAAAGGAGCUGU